rnacentral:rRNA from 1 species
UCUGCCUAUUAGUGGGGGACAACAUUUCGAAAGGAAUGCUAAUACCGCAUACGUCCUACGGGAGAAAGCAGGGGAUCUUCGGACCUUGCGCUAAUAGAUGAGCCUAAGUCGGAUUAGCUAGUUGGUGGGGUAAAGGCCUACCAAGGCGACGAUCUGUAGCGGGUCUGAGAGGAUGAUCCGCCACACUGGGACUGAGACACGGCCCAGACUCCUACGGGAGGCAGCAGUGGGGAAUAUUGGACAAUGGGCGCAAGCCUGAUCCAGCCAUGCCGCGUGUGUGAAGAAGGCCUUAUGGUUGUAAAGCACUUUAAGCGAGGAGGAGGCUACUUUAGUUAAUACCUAAAGAUAGUGGACGUUACUCGCAGAAUAAGCACCGGCUAACUCUGUGCCAGCAGCCGCGGUAAUACAGAGGGUGCAAGCGUUAAUCGGAUUUACUGGGCGUAAAGCGCGCGUAGGCGGCUAAUUAAGUCAAAUGUGAAAU